CUCUCUCUCUGAAAAGCUCUCUGGAAGCUUCUACCUAACCGACUCUCUCUCAUCUUGUUCUUCAAUUUCGUCUGGAUUUCUUGAUGUUUUCAUGGUAUCAGAGCAAGGACGAUGAUCCGACGAUGCUUUCCUGUAUCUUGUUAUCUCGGUUGAAGUCUCGUCGGAAAUUUUUGGGGGUGUUUCUGACGUAUUUGGUCAAUGAUGAUUCCGAUAUAAAUCGGAUGUUGAUCUGAGACUUUCAUCGUGAUAUCUGGCUGUAUCUUCUUCACUCGAAUGUUUUGGGUUAUUUUUUCGACGUUCUCGAGUCGAUUCCGGUGAGGCUUCGGAUUUUAGGGUUUCUGCUGUUCGAAACUGG
rnacentral:lncRNA from 1 species